rnacentral:rRNA from 1 species
UACGUAGGUGACAAGCGUUGUCCGGAUUUACUGGGCGUAAAGAGCGCGCAGGCGGUCGAUCAAGUCGAGUGUGAAAGCCCCCGGCUCAACUGGGGAGGGUCAUUCGAUACUGAUCGACUCGAAGGCAGGAGAGGGUAGUGGAAUUCCCGGUGUAGUGGUGAAAUGCGUAGAUAUCGGAAGGAACAUCAGUGGCGAAAGCGGCUUCCUGGACCAGCACCGACGUUCAGGCACGAAAGCGUGGGGAGCAAACAGG